GUUUCUCGUUUACAUCCUUUACGUUUGUCAAGUCAACGUUUUGCCCGAACGAACGAAUGAAUGGGGAAAUUGCAUCUUGCACACGCUUGCUUGAAACAAAAGAGAAAACAAUAUCCUGCUACCUACUUGAAAAAGAACCGUGUCAAAAAUCAUUCCAAAGAGUCCGCGAGUGUCUCCGUGCUCAAUUGAAAAAUUAUUUUCUUGAUGUACGUAUUAGAUUUUUUUUUUUGUUACGUUGCGCCUGCGCCUUUAAGUGGCUCCAGCUCGCCGGGAUGACGUCAUGCUUUUCUUUUCUCCGCCGUGACCUCAUCGACUUUGGAUCCGGACAAACUUGGGACGAAGGCGCGAAGCGGGUCAAACUUCUGCGCCUCUGACGACUCGGCCGUCGAACGUUGGAGCGAGCGGAUCUUCCCGUGUUUGACGGCAACGUCAUGACGUCAUCACAACGCAUGCCGCCGUGACGUGGCAGAGGCUUCUUCGGCCGCGGUCGCGCCGAGGGUGCGCCCCCUGUCCGCGGAGGCGCUGGCGGGCCUGCUCGAGAGGCGCGGUGGCGGCGGCGGCGGCGGCUUCGGCGUGCUGCUGGUCGACAGCCGACCCUUCGCGGACUUCAACGCGUCGCGCAUCGCCGACGCCGUCAACGUCAGCGCGUCCAAGCUGCUCAAGCGGCUUCUCUGAGUUUUCCCGCCAGUUUGCACGUCUGUGCGAGGGGAAGCAGGAGCAGCAGACGCCGGCGCCGCCCGCAGCCCCGGGCCCGAGCCCGAGCCGCAUCCUGCCGCACUUGUUCCUGGGCUGCCAGCGCGACGUCCUCGACGAGGAAGCGAUGCGACGCCACGCCAUCGCCUAGGAGGCGCGUGC